rnacentral:rRNA from 1 species
CCUACGGGAGGCUGCAGUGAGGAAUAUUGGUCAAUGGGCGCAAGCCUGAACCAGCCAUCCCGCGUGCAGGAAGACGGCCCUAUGGGUUGUAAACUGCUUUUCCAGGGAGAGAAACUUACGCACGUGUUGCGUGACUGACGGUACCCUGGGAAUAAGCAUCGGCUAACUCCGUGCCAGCAGCCGCGGUAAUACGGAGGAUGCAAGCGUUAUCCGGAUUCAUUGGGUUUAAAGGGUGCGUAGGCGGGCUAUUAAGUCAGUGGUGAAAUCCUGCAGCUUAACUGCAGAACUGCCGUUGAUACUGAUAGUCUUGAGUUUGGUUAAGGUAGGCGGAAUGUGUAAUGUAGCGGUGAAAUGCUUAGAUAUUACACAGAACACCAAUUGCGUAGGCAGCUUACUGAGCCGACACUGACGCUGAGGCACGAAAGCGUGGGGAUCAAACAGGAUUAGAUACCCUAGUAGUC